rnacentral:tRNA from 1 species
UUUACGGGAUCGAGGCCCGUCGAUCUAG